ACCACCAUCAUUGCCAGAUGAUCAAGCUGAGCAGCAGAAAGAGAAGAAAAUAAAAGUGAAGAAGUUGAAGAAAGUGUCCAAACGUUUGCAGGGAAACUGCAGGGCGAUGCGGGUGAAGGACGGGUCUGGCAAUACCUCCAUGCAGAAAUCAGCCAUGGAUUUCAUCCAAGCAGGUCUGUAUGGCUCAGGAAC